rnacentral:rRNA from 1 species
GUCUCAACCGGAGAAGUGUAUCGGAAACUGGAUAACUUGAGUGCUGAAAAGGGUAGUGGAACUCCGUGUGUAGCGGAGGAAUGCGUAGAUAUAUGGAAGAACACCAGUGGCGAAGGCUUCUACGUGGUCUGCGCUGAUUCUGAGACUCGAAAGCAUGGGUAGCGAACUUAAUUACAUACCCUGGUCGUCCCUGCCAUAAACGAUGAGUGCUAGGUGUUGGAGGGUUUCCUUCCUUGGUUGCCGGAGCUAACGCAUUAUCACUCCGGGGGGGAGUACGACCGUUAGGUUGAAACUGAAAUGAAUUGACGGCGGCCCGCACGAGGGGUGGAGCAUGUGGUUUAAUUCGAAGCUACACCAAUAACCUUACCUGGUCUUGACAUCUUGCUCCAACCCUAGAGAUAUGGCGUUUCCUUCUGGAACCCAAUGACAUGUGGUGCAUGUUCGCUCUUGUCUCGAGGUCUUGAGAUGUUGCGUUCAGUCCCGCCACCACCGCUACCCUUGUUACUAGUUGUCAGCAUGAACUCUGGGCACUCUAGUGAGACUGCAGGUGACAAACCGGGAGGAAGGUGGGGACGACCUCGCACCUUUUUGCCCCUGAUGACCUCGGGCUACACAGGUGCUACAAUGGAGGGGGCCAACU